rnacentral:rRNA from 1 species
UACGUAGGGUGCGAGCGUUGUCCGGAUUUAUUGGGCGUAAAGAGCGUGUAGGCGGCCUGGUAGGUCAGCUGUGAAAACUCGAGGCUCAACCUCGAGACGUCGGUUGAAACCACCUGGCUAGAGUCCGGAAGAGGAGAGUGGAAUUCCCGGUGUAGCGGUGAAAUGCGCAGAUAUCGGGAAGAACACCCGUGGCGAAGGCGGCUCUCUGGGACGGUACUGACGCUGAGACGCGAAAGCGUGGGGAGCGAACAGG